GUUCAGUCUUUAAUAAUGUGAGAAUAAACAGAAUAAAUUAAAAGCACACCAUAUUCUUCUCAGCUUCCUCAGGGGCUUUGUCCAAACAGCUUGAACAACUGCAAAAUAAUAUUCAGGAACCAUGAUAGUGUUUGGUACAUAGAGGACACUGGAAAUGGUUUUCUUAACUGAACAAGUGACUAGAAUAAAGGAAUUAAUGAACGACAUCAGAGCUGAAAUCCCAAACCAUAAAUCAUAAAAGGAUCAGACAGCAAAGAGUACUCAAAAGCUGAUUUAUUGAGAUCCUGAUGAGUUUGAAGUAACUAGAAACUUGAUCAAACAGUGACAAGACCCAAGAUUUGUUUUACUCUAAAGUGAGAAAUUAUCCUCAACAAAAAAACAUUUCACAGUGAGAAUCAGAAGAAUAUUUGCAUCAGGCAACUCUGGGUGCUAGAUAUUUAUUUUUUUUCUUUUUCACAUGAACUAUAAAAACUUACCACAAAAGACUGAUCUCCACAACUGCUUAUACUCUAGGAUUAUUAUACAUUGCACUGUUCUUGCUGAUACUCCAAAGACAUGUAGAAAAUAGAAAGGUAAGUUUGCAGGAGGAAAAAAGAACAAUGGAAUGAAGAAGCAAACAGGGAGUUAAAAUAACUCCUUGGAAUAGUAGAAUCAGGAAAGCAAAGGUAAAGCAUUAAAGUCUAAGGGCUGCAUGACUCCUAAGGGGAAAAUGCAUGUAUUUCUUUUAUUUUGCACUGAGAUUAAAUUUGCUGAUUUUUUUUCAUACUGUGUGUUCUUUCGCUCCCAAUCCUCACAUAAAAUAUUUCAGGGUGACCAACUGCUCUUUUGUGUUACAUUUUAAACAGGUAGAUGACUUUCACAUGUAGGCAAAGUUGAUUCUAGGAAUUAUUGUGAGGUAAGAGAAAUGUGUUUGAGACAAGGUGUGGUCUCUUCUUCUUAAGUUUUCCUCUCUGCAUGUUUUUAUUUCAUCCUAACCCAGAGUCCUUAAAUUCUCCAGCAUCAAUCUUAAUGCACAAUUUACUUAACACUUUUGAGUAGAGACACAUGGGGAGCCCAUAAACUUAAAUAUAAAAUGUGAAAUCAGAUAUGUGAUUUCUGUGUAAAUGUGUCUCUUGCAUCUGCUGUGGGUCUAUAUUUUACUGGACACUCCAGAUGCUAUAUCUUUGGAUCCACAACUGCAUGCCCACUAAGAUCAUACUUUCCCCAGAUUUCCCCAAGUCAGUGACUCAGUAUAAUGUGAAUACACAGUGGAUUCAUUACUGGGAGAUAUGAGAGUUUUCCAACAGGAGACCGUAGCUCAAGUACUCCUUUUCUGGAAACCAAACCUCUGUUGGAAUCAUGCUACAUCAGAGAAUUUUCCUCCUAAUCCAUUUUUUCAUCCCUAUCUCCUUCUAUGUGUAUCAGCCCAGCAUUAUGAUAUAAAGAAUCUACUGUUCUUUUCUUGCUUCUCCCUACAAUAAAUGUCUUGAAUGUCUAAUUCUUUCUUGCUGUCUGCCACUCGGUGGUCCUAAACAAAUGCAAAUGAUACCAAUAUAUUUAAGAAAAAAGAUGGAAAAAUGAAGAAA
ensembl:lncRNA LINC02484 long intergenic non-protein coding RNA 2484